AGUGAACGCUGGCGGUAGGCCUAACACAUGCAGGUCGAACGGCAGCACAGUAAGAGCUUGCUCUUACGGGUGGCGAGUGGCGGACGGGUGAGGAAUACAUCGGAAUCUACUUUUUCGUGGGGGAUAACGUAGGGAAACUUACGCUAAUACCGCAUACGACCUACGGGUGAAAGCAGGGGAUCUUCGGACCUUGCGCGAUUGAAUGAGCCGAUGUCGGAUUAGCUAGUUGGCGGGGUAAAGGCCCACCAAGGCGACGAUCCGUAGCUGGUCUGAGAGGAUGACCAGCCACACUGGAACUGAGACACGGUCCAGACUCCUACGGGAGGCAGCAGUGGGGAAUAUUGGACAAUGGGCGCAAGCCUGAUCCAGCCAUACCGCGUGGGUGAAGAAGGCCUUCGGGUUGUAAAGCCCUUUUGUUGGGAAAGAAAAGCAGCAGGUUAAUACCCCGCUGUUCUGACGGUACCCAAAGAAUAAGCACCGGCUAACUUCGUG
rnacentral:rRNA from 1 species